UCGGGGGCCACGGCUCAGACGCCAUGGUAAGCGUGACCGACUGCCCAAGGCGCCGCCGGGACAACACCCAGGCCCGCGAGUCGCGGGCUUUACCUGGCUUCAGUACAGUGGGACCUGGAUGCGCGGGGAAGGUGGACGCUUUUCAUAUCGCUGAGGAAGCAGCCAGAAACUCUUCACCUUUCUGGUUUAUUUUUUCCCCUUGUUUAUCGUAUUUUAUUUGCCCGCGUUUGAAAUGUCUUGGUUUUACUUUUUUUGAUUCACGUUUUCCUGGAAAGGAGAGAGUGCUUAUUAUUCAAUAAGUGCAAAAGAGUUCUAUAGGGUCCCCACCAAGGAAACCCGAGAAAACAGUGCUGACAGCUUCCCCGCGGUGAACUUGAUAGGAUUUGAAGUGACAGAGACCAGGAAGUCCGGUGCUGGGAGUCUGGAGUGGUGAUCCUGCCCCUGCCACAACUUUGCUGUGUACCUUGGAGAAGACCCAAACUUCUCUGUGCCUUUUGGGACUAUGAAACGAAGGGGUCACAGUUGGAAUGAGAAACUAAGCACCGAAAAAUACUCUAGGCACAUAGGAGAACACUCGUGAAAUUACUGUACUUAGAAACUUGGUUAGGAAGGAUUUGUCACUGUAAGGAGUUAUGCAAAAUAUUGAAGGACUUUUUCCCCUUAAUGAGAAUGUCAGAGGGACCCCUCUCCCUAUCCCAGCGCCCCCACCUCCCAGCUGUCUCUAGUGGUGUUCCUAAAUAUAAAGGUUCUGAGCAGGAUUUUGUUUGGGGGAUUUUUCCUCCUUCUGCAGUUCUGGGAUUCCAUCCCUGGGACUUGUGGCAUAUUAGGCAAGCACUCUACCUCUGAGUACAUCCUCAGCCUCUGAGAAGGGUCUUCACAGGGAUUGUGCCCCACUGGAUCCACUUUGCUCCUCUGGUGAGAUGGCCAUACUAGGAAAAAGUUGACUCCAUAUGUAGGAAAUGUAAAAAAACUUACCCCAAAGUGAGAAAUAACCAAAAUUAGGAAAAUGUUUCCUUGUAGGGGUGAAGAGGAAAUGGGGUGAGGAAAGGUACCCAAGGACUCGUUAUUCACACUGUGAUGUUUUACUUUCCAAGAUGGGUAGAUGGCAGAUUGGUGGUCUUUACAUUUUUCUCUGCUCUUUAUGAACCUGAAAUUCUUUGUAAAAGAAUUUUCUAAUAGUCCUCUCAAAACAUGCUAAAUAAUGUUAUUAAAUGCAAAAAAAAAGUAUCCCUUAUUCUGGCAUUAGCAUCUUACUGCUUUUCAAAAUUCCUACAAGUCCUUUCACAAAUGAUAUUAUGAUAAAUGACUUUUUGUAAAUCCAGUUGAUGAUCCUUUGUGGA
rnacentral:lncRNA from 1 species